UAAUGAACAUAACUCUAAUAUUUCAGCUGAGAAAAACUUUUGCGUUUAUACACCUAAUAUAUCAGUGACCGCAGGAACCACAAACGAUGUUUUAAACAAAAGUGUUGAAAUAGAAACAGAAACAAACAAACAAGAAAUUUCAAAUAAAGAAAACAUUGAAGCCUAUUUAAGAAAACUUAAAUUAAACUUACCUGGCGAUAACACAAAGAAAUCUGAAAAAGGAGAACCAAAUGAAAAUCCUAGAACCAAUAAAGAAGAUAUUCCAGAUUUCAGUACUCGGAGAUCUGAAACAGUUAUUCAGAAUAAUAAAAAAACAAAGAAUGAAUGUGCUUACGAUGAAAUAGAUUCAGGGAAGAAAAUUCUAGAUGACGCUAAACGAGAUGGUAAUCGUGAACCGAAAAUUAAGUCUGAUGAUAUUAUUGAAAGCAGAAUUGGUACUCGAAUGGAAAUCCUCGGGAUGAUUUUAAUCCUACUAAUGAUCAAGAAGGUGUAUUUGAAAAUACAACAUCUGAAGUAGAAAGAAAGACUUCUAAAGUGAAAGAUUACUCUUCUAAUUUAAGGAAUGAAACUGAAAAUAGUAGCAUAGAUAAGGAAGACGAACAUAGCAAUCUGAUCAUGAUAAUAAUAUCUAUAUGUGCAACAUUACUUAUUGUUAUAGUUUUAUUUAUAAUGAUAAAAUGUUGCUGCAAUAAGAAACCUGCAACGCGACCACCGAUGCCAUUACCAAAUAAUGAACGGCCUUUUUAUUUAAACCUAUUAUUCGAAAAAGAAUGUGAACGAGAAAGGCAGGCUAUGGAACAACCUGUGUAUGAAGAAAUAUACAACUAGCCAUAUAACCUCUAAGUUCGGAUAAGACUUUUAAGUAUAAAUAAAGAAAAA